rnacentral:rRNA from 1 species
CGGGACGGGUGAGUAACGCGUGAGUAACCUGCCUUGGAGUGGGGAAUAACACAUCGAAAGAUGUGCUAAUACCGCAUAAGCGCACAGAGCCGCAUGGCUCGGUGUGAAAAACUCCGGUGGUGCAAGAUGGACCCGCGUCUGAUUAGCUGGUUGGCGGGGUAACGGCCCACCAAGGCGACGAUCAGUAGCCGGCCUGAGAGGGUGAACGGCCACAUUGGGACUGAGACACGGCCCAAACUCCUACGGGAGGCAGCAG